UACGGAGGGGGCAAGCGUUGUCCGGAUUUAUUGGGUUUAAAGGGUGCGUAGGCGGUUAAUUAAGUCAGUGGUGAAAUCCUGGAGCUCAACUUCAGAACUGCCAUUGAUACUGGUUGACUUGAGUACAGACGAGGUUGGCGGAAUUGAUGGUGUAGCGGUGAAAUGCAUAGAUACCAUCAAGAACACCGAUUGCGAAGGCAGCUAACUAGGCUGUAACUGACGCUGAGGCACGAAAGUGUGGGGAUCAAACAGG
rnacentral:rRNA from 1 species